rnacentral:rRNA from 1 species
AUACGGAGGAUCCGAGCGUUAUCCGGAUUUAUUGGGUUUAAAGGGAGCGUAGGUGGAUUGUUAAGUCAGUUGUGAAAGUUUGCGGCUCAACCGUAAAAUUGCAGUUGAAACUGGCAGUCUUGAGUACAGUAGAGGUGGGCGGAAUUCGUGGUGUAGCGGUGAAAUGCUUAGAUAUCACGAAGAACUCCGAUUGCGAAGGCAGCUCACUAGACUGUCACUGACACUGAUGCUCGAAAGUGUGGGUAUCAAACAGGAUUAGAUACCCUGGUAGUCCACACAGUAAACGAUGAAUACUCGCUGUUUGCGAUAUACAGUAAGCGGCCAAGCGAAAGCAUUAAGUAUUCCACCUGGGGAGUACGCCGGCAACGGUGAAACUCAAAUGAAUUGGCGGGG